rnacentral:lncRNA from 10 species
GUCCCUUGGCUGCCCAAGACAUGGCUUCUGUUUAUCCAGUCUCCACUCUUCUCCACCCUGCUCUGUGUCCUGGGAAACCGAACUAAAACGACUGCCUAAAAGAACUCUUGAUCUCCAAUACCUUCCUUGCUCUAUGGCUUCUGAUUGCAUCUGUCAGUGCAGUGAAAGCCACGGGCAGGAGAUACAGAAAGAAGAAAAACAAGCCAAGUUGAGGCACUUAUUUCCCAUCUUCUUGCAUACUUGUUUUCUAUUUGCCAUCUUCCCCUACCAAGGGCCAUACCUUUUAUCAGGUGGUCUUCUACACACAGCUGUCACGAGUUUCCCAUUAGGCCAAGAGAUACUGGGAGUUUUCCAUUGUUAUAAACCCCAGGAUACCGUGUUUCCCUUUCUGACUUUCCUAAACUUGU